rnacentral:tRNA from 1 species
AGCCCGUGGCUCAAUGGUAGAGCAAUCGACUGAAUUUCCAAAGGUCAUGGGUUCGAUUCCCAGGUGUGCUA